AAUCCCCUGCUUUGCCAAAGUCCUGCGUUCCACGCGGGGUACCUUGUAGGCAAAGUGGUGGCUU
ncrna:unclassified sequences DTF3800-VIII RNA